rnacentral:rRNA from 1 species
AUUGAACGCUGGCGGCAGGCUUAACAUAUGCAAGUCGAGCGGAGAUGAGGUGCUUGCACCUUAUCUUAGCGGCGGACGGGUGAGUAAUGCUUAGGGAUCUGCCUAUUAGUGGGGGACAACAUUCCGAAAGGAAUGCUAAUACCGCAUACGUCCUACGGGAGAAAGCAGGGGAUCUUCGGACCUUGCGCUAAUAGAUGAGCCUAAGUCGGAUUAGCUAGUUGGUGGGGUAAAGGCCUACCAAGGCGACGAUCUGUAGCGGGUCUGAGAGGAUGAUCCGCCACACUGGGACUGAGACACGGCCCAGACUCCUACGGGAGGCAGCAGUGGGGAAUAUUGGACAAUGGGGGGAACCCUGAUCCAGCCAUGCCGCGUGUGUGAAGAAGGCCUUAUGGUUGUAAAGCACUUUAAGCGAGGAGGAGGCUACUGAGACUAAUACUCUUGGAUAGUGGACGUUACUCGCAGAAUAAGCACCGGCUAACUCUGUGCCAGCCGCCGCCGUAA